GACAGUGGUACAUAUCAAGUGUAAGAAAUACUCAGCAAAAAUGCAACAUGUGUAAAAAUGCCAUUUUCUUUCCCCUCACCACAAAUAUUAACAUAAAUUGGUGAAAAAAUGGUGACAUGUUAGUGCACAAUAUAUGCAAUAUACUCUGGGGUGUCUGUUUUAUCAAAUGGAAGCACUUUGUGAGGUUAUUUGAAUAGUGAAACUGCCAUAAUACCCCAAAAUGAG